ensembl:lncRNA
GGGAAGGAUAACGUUUUGGCGGAUGCUCUGUCAAGGUCGUAAGUGCUUGUGUUUGUCUAUUGUUUAUGUACUUGUUGACUUUGCCAUAGGUUAUUCUAUAACAAUGUUUUAAGGGUGGGAGUGUUUUAAUCUGUGUUUCAUUGCAGUUUCCCUGGUAACUCUCCUGCAAUUAACAGCUUAAUUGGAUCCACCUGAAGGGAGUCACUUUAAAUCUAGGACACAUGCACUUGCUCUCUCUCUCUCUCGUUUUGCAGCCAGCACUGCAGUAGCAGUGUUUCUGCUUCUCCAGUCCCCUUCUUUUUUUCCACUUUUGUUAUUAAAUAAACUUAUUUUGAUUGGCAUACUUUUGUUUUGUGUCCUUUGUUGCAUCCCUAGAGCCAGGGUUGUAACAACACACACACACACACUCAGCACAUCACACACACACUCUCCCCAUCAUACCUUGCGUGAGAGUCUGUGUCUGAUCUCUCUCUUCUCCUCCAUCUGCUCCUGUUCAUUACGAGCUGUGGGACAGGAGCAGGUCAGAGGUGUUGAGUUCACAUCAGCAGAUUCAAGACACAUACAAUGUUAAAGACUGAAGCAGAGCCCGUCUACGGAGAGCCUUCCCACUCCCUAUUAAGUCCUAUUGUACCGAAUUUUGGUUGCAGUUCCGCCAGAGUUCCACUGGGGGCGAUCACCAUGAGUACAAAAUGAAUGGGAGUCUAUGGGGCUAGACGGCUAAAUUUGUCCCUUUCACCCGAUUGCCGUUGAGAAAUCUCAGAUCUGAUUGUAGGUUUUGCAAGUUCAACAUGGGUUAUAGGUCGAAAGUUGAAUGAACGAGUACUUAUGUCCUUUCGAUUUCUUACUGGUUGAGUUGUUGCCCAUAACACGCUAGCAUUCUGCUAAUGAACGCAUAACGUAUGACAUCAUUGACAUUUUAAAAUACUUUUUAAAGCAAAUAAGUGACUCUAAAAAAUCUAACACCCAGCAAUGUGUAAUUUCUUUGCAUCUCCUUUCGAAUACAACAUUCAAAUUACUAGACAAAAAAUUAUAUCCUGAGAAAAGUGGAUUUUGAGGGGUAUACCGCCAUUGACCUCCAUUCAUUCUGCACUCGUCCUGUGAGCGCCCUCAUAUGGAAUCAGAGUGGAACUGCAACCAGUUCAGAAGCCGGAAGUGUAGUGGGAGUGAAACUUCUCGCCAUAUUAGACAUUCUCUGACUGAAGCAAGAUCACUGCACAUUACAGUCAACAUGAACUGAUGUCAUCCACGAGGAACAGGCUGCAUCAUGGGAAGUGGGCUUUGGUGUGUAAGUGUCUCUCUGGGUUCUGGACUCACGUUUGAGGAUGUUCCUCUGCUCCAGCUCUUCAGCCAUGGGCCUCUGACUCAGUCUCCUGUUCCACACACGCACACGCAGCAAAACAGACCAAAAUCUCAGAAACUGAGACACACGAGAGUCACAUUAAAGCUGCAAAC